ensembl:snRNA U1 U1 spliceosomal RNA
AUACUUACUUGGCAGAAGCAAUAUCAUGAUCACAAAGGUGGUUUUCCCAGGGUGAGGCUCAUCUUUUGCACUCCAGGUGGGCUGACUCCUGUGAUUUCUCCAAAUGCAGGAAUCUUGACUGCAUAAUUUGUGGCAGUAGGGGACUCUGUUCGUGCUUUCCCCUG